rnacentral:rRNA from 1 species
UACGAACGGGGCUAGCGUUGUUCGGAUUUACUGGGCGUAAAGCGCACGUAGGCGGAUUGGUCAGUUAGGGGUGAAAUCCCAGAGCUCAACUCUGGAACUGCCCUUAAUACUGCCAGUCUAGAGUCCGGAAGAGGUGAGUGGAACUCCUAGUGUAGAGGUGGAAUUCGUAGAUAUUAGGAAGAACACCAGUGGCGAAGGCGGCUCACUGGUCCGGUACUGACGCUGAGGUGCGAAAGCGUGGGGAGCAAACAGG